GUCUGGACAGAAAAAUGACCUCUAUGUUAGUAUCAAGUAGAGGGAGACUUGGGGGAGGGUCAAGUGUACUUGAUGACAUCAUAAAGAGAGUGGUAGAAUUCUAUCUAGAACUGUAGAAACCUAAAGGGAAGACUCUGAAGACUUCUGCCCUCUAAAUAACAAGGCUCAAUUCUAUGGUUUCUUUGAAUGCCUUGGUGCUCAGUUAAUUAUCAGAUAAGGCUACUCUGGAAAGAAUCAAAGACAAAGAAAUCUCCCUUUGGUAGAGUAAAAGCCAUGGAACCCCUAAAGCUGUUUUGCAUUGCAUUUCUGCUAUGCUCACUGACUUGCUUCUUAUUGGAGGCAGAAGCUUCCCCUCCUUCACGUUUACUUGGCUUUGGAAUGCAAGACAAAUCAGGAUGGAAACCACGCUCGAGGGGUGUAUUUGCUAUUAGGAUGAUUGAUCCUAUCUUUGAAAAACGGAAGAUUCAUGUCUCAGGAAACCAGAAGUCCUGGCUGAGCAACUUCAGGGCUUACCUGGAUGAGCUCUUCAGGAAUACCACGUUUCCAGCAGCCAUUGUGGCUAUUUUCCUCAACCUGUCCCUAAUGGGGACUCUCUGUUGUCUCACCAUUCUUGUGGGUGGGCCAGUCCACUGAAGACUCAGUCUGCCCACUACAAGGCUCACUGGACUCCAAGACAGUGAAGAAGAAUAUGCUGUUUACUAAAGCAAAGUUAAAAUUAAAUUGUCUUCC
rnacentral:lncRNA from 1 species